rnacentral:rRNA from 1 species
AUUGAACGCUGGCGGCGUGCCUAAUACAUGCAAGUCGAACGAAGUGGCGCACGGGUGAGUAAUAUAUAGUUAAUCUGCCCUUCACAGAGGAACAACAGUUGGAAACGCCUGCUAAUACCUCAUAGUGUCGGAUGAGACUAUAUCGUAUCAGCUAGUUGGUAAGGUAAUGUCUUACCAAGGCUAUGACGCGUAACUGGUCUGAGAGGAUGAUCAGUCACAUGGGAACGGAGACACGGUCCAAACUCCUACGGGAGGGAGCAGUAAGGAAUAUUGCGCCAUGGGGGAAACCCUGACGAAGCAGCGCCGCGUGGAAGAUGACACUUGUCGGAGCGUAAACUCCUUUUAUCAGGUAAGCGGUACCUGAUGAAUAAGCACCGGCUAACUCCGUGCCAGCAGCCGCGGUAAUAC